CUUUGUGAAAUUGGUGACCUUUACAAAACAAGAAAAUGCCUUCCUUAUGUUAACAUAAGAUGAAUUAAGUGCUGUACUUAAUCCGGUGAGCAGAUCUACCUUCUAGAGCUGACAUUAAAUCGCACAAGCUUUCUCAUUUAUAUGGGAUCCAUCUAUUGUUCUUCAGGAAUGAAUUAUGGAUCAUGUGAUAGAAAACAAUUGCGUUCCAGUGAACCUUAAUGGGCUAUUAGAAGCCUGCAAGACACAACUGAAUCGGGUGACGAAGAAAGACAUCCGCCAUGUGCGGGCAUCAAGAUCAAGAAAUGCUUGAGAGGAAGAUUGUCUAGGGGAGUUGUUUACUGUUAGUUCUUGCUCUCUUUUAUUGCAAUGAGGGUGACGUAAAUAGCCGAGAUAAAGAUUACCUAUUCAUAGCCAGGAAGGUAAGGGUCAAACCUUCCAACCCACAAUGGAAUGGAUGGACUUCUACUUUAAGGGCUCAAACUCCCCAGCGUUUUUUCCUGCGCUGCCCUGUGGUGGCGUUGUUGUGUGUUCCACUGGGGUGUGCACAGAAAGAAACACAUCCCAUUCUUUCUAAUGGGGCUGUACUAACUGUGGCAUGAUCCAGUGUGUUAAAAAUCUAAAUGCUAUAAUUCCUACUUUAUAGGAUCGUCUUUAAAGGUUAUAUCUCUUUACUUUGCACUGCAAAUAAAAUAUCUGUUGGCGGCAAGAAUUCUAUUUUAUAUGAGAAAGGUUUUCAUCCUAUAAGUGUGUAUAGAACUAUGAAUGUCAUUUGACCCCUGUUUAUCUUCACUCAAACAAUAAAACCACUGCAUUCUUAACAGCCUGCGGGGCCUAUAGCACUAACAAAGCUAUACUGCAUCUUUAAAAGUCUAGCAAAUCCAAAAUAAAAAAAUUAUGAAAUGUACCUUUUUAUUAAUUUUCUGCAUAAAUAAAAAUUAUUUUUGUGCAAA